rnacentral:rRNA from 1 species
GCUUGCUACCUGACCUAGCGGCGGACGGGUGAGUAAUGCUUAGGAAUCUGCCUAUUAGUGGGGGACAACAUUCCGAAAGGAAUGCUAAUACCGCAUACGCCCUACGGGGGAAAGCAGGGGAUCUUCGGACCUUGCGCUAAUAGAUGAGCCUAAGUCAGAUUAGCUAGUUGGUGGGGUAAAGGCCUACCAAGGCGACGAUCUGUAGCGGGUCUGAGAGGAUGAUCCGCCACACUGGGACUGAGACACGGCCCAAACUCCUACGGGAGGCAGCAGUGGGGAAUAUUGGACAAUGGGCGAAAGCCUGAUCCAGCCAUGCCGCGUGUGUGAAGAAGGCCUUUUGGUUGUAAAGCACUUUAAGCGAGGAGGAGGCUACUUGGAUUAAUACUCUAGGAUAGUGGACGUUACUCGCAGAAUAAGCACCGGCUAACUCUGUGCCAGCAGCCGCGGUAAUACAGAGGGUGCGAGCGUUAAUCGGAUUUACUGGGCGUAAAGCGUGCGUAGGCGGCUUCUUAAGUCGGAUGUGAAAUCCCUGAGCUUAACUUAGGAAUUGCAUUCGAUACUGGGAAGCUAGAGUAUGGGAGAGGAUGGUAGAAUUCCAGGUGUAGCGGUGAAAUGCGUAGAGAUCUGGAGGAAUACCGAUGGCGAAGGCAGCCAUCUGGCCUAAUACUGACGCUGAGGUACGAAAGCAUGGGGAGCAAACAGGAUUAGAUACCCUGGUAGUCCAUGCCGUAAACGAUGUCUACUAGCCGUUGGGGCCUUUGAGGCUUUAGUGGCGCAGCUAACGCGAUAAGUAGACCGCCUGGGGAGUACGGUCGCAAGACUAAAACUCAAAUGAAUUGACGGGGGCCCGCACAAGCGGUGGAGCAUGUGGUUUAAUUCGAUGCAACGCGAAGAACCUUACCUGGUCUUGACAUAGUAAGAACUUUCCAGAGAUGGAUUGGUGCCUUCGGGAACUUACAUACAGGUGCUGCAUGGCUGUCGUCAGCUCGUGUCGUGAGAUGUUGGGUUAAGUCCCGCAACGAGCGCAACCCUUUUCCUUAUUUGCCAGCGGGUUAAGCCGGGAACUUUAAGGAUACUGCCAGUGACAAACUGGAGGAAGGCGGGGACGACGUCAAGUCAUCAUGGCCCUUACGACCAGGGCUACACACGUGCUACAAUGGUCGGUACAAAGGGUUGCUACCUAGCGAUAGGAUGCUAAUCUCAAAAAGCCGAUCGUAGUCCGGAUUGGAGUCUGCAACUCGACUCCAUGAAGUCG